rnacentral:tRNA from 3 species
GCUUCCAUGGCUCAGUUGGUAGAGCGACGCAUUCGUAAUGCGUAGGUCAAGGGUUCGAGUCCCUUUGGGAGCU